rnacentral:lncRNA from 1 species
UAGUUUAGUUGAUUAGUUUAAUUUAGUCGGUGCUUUAGUUUAGUGGUAGUUUAGUUUAGUUGGUCCUUUUUGUUCUUUUUUUUUGCUGUUUUCCUUUUUAGUUUAGUUUAGUAGGUAUGUAGUUUAGUUUAGUUUAUAAGGAGGAGGAGGAGAAGAAGAANNNGAAGAAGAAGAAGAAGAGGAGGAGAAGAGGAGAAGAGGAGGACGAGAAGAAGAAGAGGAGAAGAGGAGAAGAAAGAGGAAAAAUAAAAAGAA